UAAAGAGGAAAAAUGUCAUUAAAAUCCCGAACUUUGCUAAAACAUUGAUUUAAAUCCCAAACUUUAGUUAAACGAAAAAAACAUCGAACUUUUGUUGUCUUUUCUAAUAAAUCUUAAACUUGUGUUGACCGCGCCAUUUUAGUCUUGCCGUUAUCUGGGUUAACAGACUUAAUUGACAGGGUUAAUUAGGCGUUAACAGAGACUUAAUUUGCAAACGACACAGUUUCGUUUUUAGUAAACGACGUCGUUUUAUCAAAAAGACUGAACUUCCCCAAUUCGAUUUGAAAAAUCACGAGCCUUAAAAAACAAAAAUUCUCAAUUCUCUUUUGUCGAUCGAGGAAGGAAAAUUCGAAACUGUAAUGAUGAGAAAGAAGCUGCCUGCUGAUGUCGACCCGCCUCCUCCUGUUGUUGAGCCGCCUCAUGUUGUUGUCGAGCCUCCGUCUGCUUCUAUCGAGCCUCCGUCUGCUUCCAUAGAGCCUCCGUCUGUUGCUAUUGAGCCUCCGUCUGUUGCUGAGCUACGACGUGCUUCUGUCGAGGCUCCUGCUAUUCACGAGCCUUCUACUAGGCCGUCUCAUUCUGUCGUUGACAAUAGGAGAAGAAAAAAAUCGAAACAGAAUGGUAACAGGUUAGAUGGUGACAAUAGAAGGAAAAAAUCGAAAUCCAAACAAAAUGGUAACGAAUCAGAUGGUGAGGGCUUGAGUGAAAAUGACUGUAAUGUUACCGGUGAUGAUGAUUUCGAUGAAGUUCACUAUGCUGACGAAGAAGAUGGUAAUCGGUUAGGUGUUACUGAAGAAAAUUGUGAAGACUUUGAAGCACACUCUGGACCAGCAGCUAGAGAUGAUGGAGAUGUGAGUGAUGCGGACAGUGGAGACGAUAUUUAACUUAUGUCCAAUUACUUUGCAGGGUUUAGUUAAAGCUAUACACAACCGGAUUCCAGCAGCUGAACAUCGUCAAUGUGCUAAGCACAUAAUGGACAACUGGAAGAGAAACAGUCACGACAUGGAACUCCAGCGUCUGUUCUGGAAGAUUGCAAGGAGCUACACCAUUGGAGAAUAUACAGCUAAUCUGGAGGAAUUAAAGACUUACAAUCCAGGUGCAGCUGCUUCUCUAAUGAACACUAAACCAAUGGAAUGGUCUAGAGCAUUUUUCAGAAUUGGAAGCUGCUGCAAUGAUAACUUGAAUAAUCUCAGUGAAUCCUUCAACCGGACAAUCCGACAAGCAAGAAGAAAACCUCUACUGGAUAUGUUGGAGGAUAUAAGGUCUCAGUGUAUGGUACGCAAUGAGAAGAGGUACAUUAUUGCUGGAAGGUGGAAAAGCAGAUUCACAAAGAGGGCACAUGAGGAGAUAGAGAAGAUGAUUGCGGGGUCUCAAUUUUGUGAAAGAAGCAUGGCAAGGCAUAAUAAGCAUGAGAUAUCACAUUUUGGUAGAAAAUAUUCUGUGGAUAUGAAUGACAAUACAUGUGGUUGCAGGAAGUGGCAAAUGACAGGUAUACCUUGUGUUCAUGCAGCCUCUGUUAUAAUUGGGAAAAAAACAGAAAGUAGAAGACUAUGUGAGUGACUGGUACACGACGAGGAUGUGGCAGCUAACUUACAAUGAUGGUAUUGCGCCGGUCCAAGGGCAGUUGUUGUGGCCUAGAGUGAAUAGGUUAGGUGUCUUGCCACCACCAUGGAGAAGAGGUACUCCUGGAAGACCAAGCAAUUAUGCUAGAAGAAAAGGAAGAUAUGAAACGACCUCUUCCUCAACAAAAUUAUCUCGCCUGCACCGUAUCACUCAUAGUUUUAAGACAAGUUUUUGUUUGAGUGAAAUUAUUCCAUCUCUUUACUCCGAUUCUCAUAUCAAGACCAAACACUCACACCGACCAAACACUCACACCUUAUAUCAAGACCAAACACUCACAUUCACCCAAGAAAAAUAAAGACCAAACACUCACAAGUUUUAUUAAGACAGCAACAAAGCCAACAUUACAAAGUCAUAAAAGUCACAAAUACUACAUUGUCAUUACAAGCUUGGCGAAGACAACAAGAUAAAUAGACUUACACUAUUAAGCAACACCAAAUUCAUUUCUUUUUGCCUUACCAAGCAUCAUGUAAAGAAUGAAAAUGCUGAUCAAACAAAGCCACAAAAAACAUAUUUUCAAACACACUUUCCACUUGCAGAUUUCUUGUUUACUCAACAUUGCUUCUUCUUUUAGUUCAUGUAUCAUCACAUUUAGCUCAUUUGCCUCGGAUUUGGCUUUGUUAAGCUCAUUUGCAAUGAUCACAAAUUUUGGUAAAACAUCUUCAACCUCUUCGUAUACAGCAUCCUCAACCCAUUUAAACAAAUGACUCUGUUACACAAUCAAACCAAAUCCGAUAUGAUUAGCUGCUAAGUUACAUAACAUAAACACAAACUCAAACUCAAACUCAAACUCAAACUUACAUCUCUUUUGUUUGUCCACGUCUUUGGAUCUCUUUUCGUUUCACAACGAAAAAAAGGUCUGCCCGGAUUAUCAACACUCUUCGAUGUGAAGAUUGUCACAUCAUCUCCACACCAACACUUCACCGGAAAACCACGGUUUUGGAUAACACCCGAUGACGCUGAACUUGAACUCAUUGCGUAGGAAGAUCCAAUUUUCGAAAUCGAUUUCAAUUCUGUCGUAGAAGAAGAGAACUGAGAAAUUUUGUUUUUUUAGGGCUUGUGAUUUCUUCGAUUUCUGAUCGAAUUGGGGGAAAACAUAGCAAGUCGUUUUGAAAAAACGACGUCGUUUACUAAAAACGAAACUGUGUCGUUUGCAAAUUAAGUCUCUGUUAACGCCUAAUUAACCCUGUCAAUUAAGUCUGUUAACCCAGAUAACGGCAAGACUAAAAUGGCGCGGUCAACACAAGUUUAAGAUUUAUUAGAAAAGUCAACAAAAGUUCGAUGUUUUUUUCGUUUCAUCUAAAAUUCGGGAUUUAAAUCAACGUUUUAGCAAAAUUCGGGAUUUUAAUGAAAUUUUUCCCUUUUUUAAAGCAACAUGCAUUUGUCAUUUGUGCAUGGUUAUUACUUGCUUCAAAAUAUCAAAAAUAAUAAACCACCAUAUAUUCUUCAAAAUUUAUAAUUUAAUUUGAAAUUAUCUUAAUAAGAAAAAACUAAAAAAUAUUUAA
rnacentral:sRNA from 1 species